UACAGAGGUCCCAAGCGUUGUUCGGAUUCACUGGGCGUAAAGGGUGCGCAGGCGGCCAAGUGUGUGAGGCGUGAAAGCCUGGGGCUUAACUCCAGAAUUGCACCUCAAACUACAUGGCUAGAGCAUUGGAGAGGGUAGCAGAAUUCACGGUGUAGCAGUGAAAUGCGUAGAUAUCGUGAGGAAUACCAGAGGCGAAGGCGGCUACCUGGACAAUUGCUGACGCUCAGGCACGAAAGCGUGGGGAGCAAAAGGG
rnacentral:rRNA from 1 species